rnacentral:rRNA from 1 species
GACGAACGCUGGCGGCGUGCUUAACACAUGCAAGUCGAACGCUGAAGCUCAGCUUUUGUUGGGUGGAUGAGUGGCGAACGGGUGAGUAACACGUGAGUAACCUGCCUCCUUCUUUGGGAUAACGCCCGGAAACGGGUGCUAAUACUGGAUAUUCACUGGUCUUCGCAUGGGGGUUGGUGGAAAGGGUUUUUCUGGUGGGGGAUGGGCUCGCGGCCUAUCAGCUUGUUGGUGGGGUGAUGGCCUACCAAGGCUUUGACGGGUAGCCGGCCUGAGAGGGUGACCGGGCACAUUGGGACGGAGAUACGGCCCAGACUCCUACGGGAUGCAGCAGUGGGGAAUAUUGCACAAUGGGUGCAAGCCUGAUGCAGCGACGCCGCGUGAGGGAUGGAGGCCUUCGGGUUGUGAACCUCUUUCGCUCAUGGUCAAGCCGCAACAAUGGUUGUGGUGAGGGUAGUGGGUAAAGAAGCGCCGGCUAACUACGUG